UUUAUAAAUGCUUUGAUAAAUCCGUUUCGAGAGUUACAAAAUUUAACAGCUUUUAGGACUGACUAAAAUUUAAGUAAUCUUGAACCAUUUUUACCAAAUUUUGAAUUGAGCAAUUUGAUAGAAUGUGGGGUUCGAGUGACAUUUAUAAAAAAGAGAAGCUACUGUUAAAGCCACAUCGCCAAGCCUUUCCUAUGCAUAUGGAACUAUCUGGUGAAGCCGGGCGUUUGAGAAUUAUUCCUGCAAGUCGGCCGAUCUUUACAGAGGAACGCUUAACAGAAAUUAUUAAACUAACCCAACCUAAAAAGUACUUUUUUAGUGCGUUGAAAGAGUUGGCUAUUUUAACAUUACAGGUGUUUAUCGUAGAGCCAAUCACAAAGGUAUUUAAGAGCAUAUAUCGGCCAAUAGAAUUUAUUUGGAUGGUAAUGGAAAGAGUGGAGCAACGCGUAGAGACCAUCGAACGCCUUGAGCGCGAAGCUGAAGAAUAUUACAACCAAAUACACUUACUCACCCAAUAAUAAAAAGAAACCUCUCCAUUAUGCAUAUAUACCUUAGUUAUAUAUGCUUAAACCCAAGUUUACACUAAACACAGAAUUUCACAGAAAUGCAUGGGACUUUCUGAAACUCUUCUGUAUUCCAUAUUGAAGAAUGACAAAUAUAGAACGCCAUAAAUGCUCUUUUAGUUGAACAUCAAAGUGAAUUGCUGGAUAUUAUUGUAAAAAUCGAUAUUAAUGGAUAUUAUUAUAUGGAUAGGCUUCUAAAAUAUAAAUAAUUGGAGAUUAGUUACUACACAUUUAAAUAAAUUAUUUGUUUUGUGAAGAUGAUGCAUUUGAACUUUGACGGACGUUUCUUUGAUGGGUUAAAUUAGAUAUAGUAAAGUCUCUAUUUUCUCCGGUCGAAUAUAUUUCGGAUUUGUUGCGAUAUUCUUUAAAUGUGACAAACUAAAAAUGGAAAACUACUUACUUCUUGCGGGCGAACAUAAUUUGGAUUUGAUGAACAUUUUUUUAAUUAAAUAAAUUACAAACGGAAAACUAUUUACUUAAUGCAAUCGAAUAUAUUCCAGAUUUGAUGUAAAUUUCUUUUAUUGGAACAAAUUAGCAGCAGAAAAUUCUUGACUUUUUAAUACCAAUACAUUUUGAUGAAUAUUUUUUAAAUUGGAUAUAUUGAAAAAGGAAAAUUAUUUACUUCUUGCACUCAAAUAUAUAAUGGAUAUAAUAUGUAUUUUUCUUUUAUUGAGACAAAUUGGAAAUGAAAAACUUUGCUAGUCACAUUCAUACUUUUUUCGGA